CUUCUCCAUCUCUGACAACGCCUACCAGUACAUGCUGUCAGACAGAGAAAACCAGUCUGUCCUGAUCACUGGAGAAUCCGGUGCUGGAAAGACUGUGAACACUAAAAGAGUGAUCCAGUACUUUGCCAGCAUUGCAGCAGCACCAACCACCAAGAAGGAUCCAUCA